UACGUAGGGUGCAAGCGUUACUCGGAAUUACUGGGCGUAAAGCGUGCGCAGGCGGUGAUGUAAGACAGAUGUGAAAUCCCCGGGCUCAACCUGGGAACUGCAUUUGUGACUGCAUCGCUGGAGUGCGGCAGAGGGGGAUGGAAUUCCGCGUGUAGCAGUGAAAUGCGUAGAUAUGCGGAGGAACACCAAUGGCGAAGGCAAUCCCCUGGGUCUGCACUGACGCUCAUGCACGAAAGCGUGGGGAGCAAACAGG
rnacentral:rRNA from 1 species